AACGAACGCUGGCGGCAGGCUUAACACAUGCAAGUCGAGCGCCCCGCAAGGGGAGCGGCAGACGGGUGAGUAACGCGUGGGAAUCUACCCAUCUCUACGGAAUAACGCAUGGAAACGUGUGCUAAUACCGUAUACGUCCUUCGGGAGAAAGAUUUAUCGGAGAUGGAUGGGCCCGCGUUGGAUUAGCUAGUUGGGGGGGUAAAGGCCUACCAAGGCGACGAUCCAUAGCUGGUCUGAGAGGAUGAUCAGCCACCCUGGGACGGAGACACGGCCCAGACUCCGACGGGAGGAAGGAGUGGGGAAUAUUGGACAAGGGGCGCAAGCCUGAUCCAGCCAUGCCGCGUGAGUGAUGAAGGCCCUAGGGUUGUAAAGCUCUUUCACCGGUGAAGAUAAUGACGGUAACCGGAGAAGAAGCCCCGGCUAACUUCGUGCCAGCCGCCGCAGUAAUAC
rnacentral:rRNA from 1 species